GCAGAACAGACGCGCGCUCUUCCUCUUCUCUUCGAAACCAAGGGCGAAGAAUGCUACUCUUCCUCCCUCCACCGCCCUAACCCACGCCUUCAGAAUUAGAGACAUCAUCGAAUCGCAGUUCACCAGAAGCCCGAAAUCGCACCAUCAUCGUAAAUCACCAGGAAGCCCUAAAUCGACACUCACCAUCGUCGCACCAUCAUCAUCGCUGCAUCCUUCCCAAAAUUGUUGCUGCCUCCUCCUUCCCGGCGUCGCUGAGUCUCUCCUCUUCGCGGCGUUGCUGCUUCUCCCCUCUCUGUGGCUUCAGUGCUUUUCCGUUCUCCGUGGCAUCCUUGCGUCUUCUGCUUCGCUGCUUCUCCCCUGUUCUGCUUCGCUGUUUCUGCUUUGCUGCUGUUGCUUCACUGCAUCGGCCGUUUGUGGAUUGUCAUCUGUGUAGGUUUGCAUAUAAAAUCUAUGGGUAAUGACACCACUGUAACGCCGUCGUCCCUCUAGACAUCGCUGCUUCUGAAUCCCCUGUCAUUGGUUCUCUGCCUCCUCAUUGUGGCUCAACCUCUGUUUAGGUAACUCAAAUGUCUCUUAUUUUGUGAGUUUAAUUGAUUUGGUUUCUAUUUUGAUUUGAAGAAUUUUACAGAGUAGAAGUGUAGAAGGAACCUAACCAUUGCAAUACUCUUAACAUUCUUGAUCCAAAUUAUUUUAUUUAUCAUCUACACUCAAUAUUUGUAUAACAAAAAGUCCUACUGUAUUGUUAAGCUUCUAUUAAUUUGUUAACAAAGUAGAACCCUACUGUUAUAGUUAAGCUUCUACAUGAAUAAGCUUCUUUCAAAGAAAUGGAACAUGGCUCAAAUAUGACUUUUGAUUUAGUCCCUUAACUUAUUAUUUAGUGUUUGUUUUGGGAAAGACAGUGUUAUGUUAGUAAGGGGUUGCUUGGAUUUCUUGGACUUCUUAAUAUUCUUAUUUUUCUUCCAAUUGCCCUCAUACUCAAUUUCACCAAACUGGAACCUUUUCAUCACUUACCUUGAAGCAGCUUGGUCUGAUCAUUGGCAAAGGUCAGUUAUUCAUUAUUAUUAGUAGCUUGACAUUGUGGUUUAGUUCUUUUACUUUCAUAUUCAUUGCAUAGGACAAUAAUUUGUGCAUUUUUUAUCCUUUGAAUCUACCGCUGCUUGUGCAAUCUGAUGAUGAGAAUUUUUUUUAAUGGUCGAAUAUAUGGCUAAAUUUUUGCAUAGGACGAUAAUUGGUUUCCAUGUUGUGUUUGUAAUUGAAACAGCCUAAUCUAAAUAAGUUUGUAUCCCUUGGAAGGCCAGCGUGGAAGGAAGCUUGUGCUACUCUUCAAUAGCUCUUUUCAGAUCCUCUGCUGGUGAAGGCUGCCAGAGGAGAACCUGUUAGACGGCCACCAGCAAGGAUGAUUUUGUCUUCAUGAUAUAUUUGAGCAUUGUUUGUGUAUUGACAUUUGACAAAUCUGUUUGUGGUUCUUUCAACCAAAGCACUCUAGCUUCUCAAGCAAAGAACAUGGUCUCUGCUCCCAUCCUUUUCAUUCUUUCUUUUUCUUAAUUCAUAAUUAAGGAAGAUACUAAUAUACUUGAGUUUUUUCUAACUUAGCCUUUACUUAUUGGGUUCAAAUCAGAAUUUUUAUAGCAUGAAGUAUAUACUGUCUUUAAAUUCGCCAGACAAGGUUGGUACAUAACUUUGUGUUUGUCUUUUUAAUGCUUAUUAUUCGGGUUUUCUAAUUUGUCAAAAAUGUUUAUACAAAUAAAGAUCAGAUUUAAAAUUCUUUCUAGUUCUUUAUGUGGAGCAGUUACCAUUAAAGCCAAAAGAGUCCACUCAAGCUGGGUUACCACACUAACUUUGUUGAAGAAAAAUGAAGAAAUUGUCACCCUUAGGCUAUAGUAUUUUUGUAUUUUGAAAAAUGAUGAUGAUAUAAGUAAAAGUAAUUAUGACCUAAACUAGUAUUAUGUUAUUUUGCAAUGAUGAUAUAUUGUGAUUGUGGAUCUUACAACCAUUUUUUUAAGUCA